rnacentral:rRNA from 1 species
GAUGAACGCUGGCGGCGUGCCUAACACAUGCAAGUCGAGCGAAGCACUUUGCUUGGAUUCUUCGGAUGAAGAGGAUUGUGACUGAGCGGCGGACGGGUGAGUAACGCGUGGGUAACCUGCCUCAUACAGGGGGAUAACAGUUAGAAAUGACUGCUAAUACCGCAUAAGACCACAGCACCGCAUGGUGCAGGGGUAAAAACUCCGGUGGUAUGAGAUGGACCCGCGUCUGAUUAGCUAGUUGGUAAGGUAACGGCUUACCAAGGCGACGAUCAGUAGCCGACCUGAGAGGAUGAUCAGCCACACUGGGACUGAGACACGGCCCAG